rnacentral:rRNA from 1 species
GACCAGACUCCUACGGGAGGCAGCAGUGGGGGAUAUUGCACAAUGGGGGAAACCCUGAUGCAGCGACGCCGCGUGAGUGAAGAAGUAAUUCGUUACGUAAAGCUCUAUCAGCAGGGAAGAAAAUGACGGUACCUGACUAAGAAGCCCCGGCUAACUACGUGCCAGCAGCCGCGGUAAUACGUAGGGGGCAAGCGUUAUCCGGAUUUACUGGGUGUAAAGGGAGCGUAGACGGCGAUGCAAGCCAGAUGUGAAAGCCCGGGGCUCAACCCCGGGACUGCAUUUGGAACUGUGUGGCUGGAGUGUCGGAGAGGCAGGCGGAAUUCCUAGUGUAGCGGUGAAAUGCGUAGAUAUUAGGAGGAACACCAGUGGCGAAGGCGGCCUGCUGGACGAUGACUGACGUUGAGGCUCGAAAGCGUGGGGAGCAAACAGGAUUAGAUACCCGGGUA